ACAGUACAAGCUGAGCAGGCGAUGAUACGUUAGUGUCGUGGGGCCGGGCCGCCAGAUCAGGUGGCAGCAGAUUGAAUUUCACACAUCUGUGGGACAGU
rnacentral:ncRNA from 1 species